rnacentral:rRNA from 1 species
AUUGAACGCUGGCGGCAGGCCUAACACAUGCAAGUCGAACGAGUGGCGGACGGGUGAGCAAUGUCGGGGAAACUGCCUGAUGGAGGGGGAUAACUAAUGGAAACGGUAGCUAAUACCGCAUACCAUCGGAUGUGCCCAGAUGGGAUUAGCUAGUAGGUGGGGUAAAGGCUCACCUAGGCGACGAUCCCUAGCUGGACUGCGAGGAUGACCGGCCACACUGGAACUGAGACACGGUCCAGACUCCUGCGGGAGGCAGCAGUGGGGAAUAUGUCACAAUGGGCGCAAGCCUGACGCAGCCAUGCCGCGUGUAUGAAGAAGGCCUUCGGGUUGUAAAGUACUGUCAGCAGGGAGGCGGUACCCGAAGAAGAAGCACCGGCUAACUCCGUGCCAGCAGCCGCGGUAAUAC